UGAAAUCCCAAGGCUUAACCUUGGAACUGCCAUCAAAACUUUUUAGCUAGAGUGUGAUAGAGGUAAGUGGAAUUUCUAGUGUAGAGGUGAAAUUCGUAGAUAUUAGAAAGAACACCAAAUGCGAAGGCAACUUACUGGGUCACUACUGACACUGAGGAGCGAAAGCAUGGGUAGCGAAGAGGAUUAGAUACCCUCGUAGUCCAUGCCGUAAACGAUGAGUGCUAGACGUUGGAAAUUUAUUUUCAGUGUCGCAGCGAAAGCAGUAAACACACCGCCUGGGGAGUACGACCGCAAGGUUAAAACUCAAAUGAAUUGACGGGGACCCGCACAAGUAGUGGAGCAUGUGGUUUAAUUCGAAGAUACGCGCAGAACCUUACCAACACUUGACAUGUUCGUCGCGGCUCUAAGAGAUUAGAGCUUUCGGUUCGGCCGGACGAAACACAGGUGCUGCAUGGCUGUCGUCAGCUCGUGUCGUGAGAUGUUGGGUUAAGUCCCGCAACGAGCGCAACCCUCACUUUUAGUUGCCAUCAUUUAGUUGGGCACUCUGAAAGAACUGCCAGUGAUAAGCUGGAGGAAGGUGGGGAUGACGUCAAGUCCUCAUGGCCCUUACGUGUUGGGCUACACACGUGCUACAAUGGCAUUUACAAUAGGAAGCAAGAUGGCGACGUCAAGCAAAUCCUAAAAAGAUGCCUCAGUUCGGAUUGUACUCUGCAACUCGAGUACAUGAAGCUGGAAUUACUAGUAAUCGCGGAUCAGCGCGCCGCGGUGAAUACGUUCCCGGGUCUUGUACACACCGCCCGUCACACCAUGGGAGUUGGUUCUACCUUAAGGCAAGGUUUAAAACCCUUGACCACGGUAUAGUCAGCGACUGGGGUGAAGUCGUAACAAGGUAACC
rnacentral:rRNA from 1 species